rnacentral:rRNA from 1 species
GCUCAAGAGCAGAACCACAGGGAUGCCCUAGUAACGGCGAGUGAAGCGGCAACAGCUCAAAUUUGAAAUCUGGCCCUCGGGUCCGAGUUGUAAUUUGUAGAGGAUGCUUUUGGCGCGGUGCCUUCCGAGUUCCCUGGAACGGGACGCCUUAGAGGGUGAGAGCCCCGUAUGGUUGGACACCAAGCCUCUGUAUAGCUCCUUCGACGAGUCGAGUAGUUUGGGAAUGCUGCUCUAAAUGGGAGGUAAAUUUCUUCUAAAGCUAAAUAUUGGCCAGAGACCGAUAGCGCACAAGUAGAGUGAUCGAAAGAUGAAAAGCACUUUGAAAAGAGGGUUAAAUAGCACGUGAAAUUGUUGAAAGGGAAGCGUUUGCGACCAGACCUUUUCCUAGCGGAUCAGCCGGUGUUCUCACCGGUGCACUUCGCUAGGUCUAGGCCAGCAUCGGUUUCCGUAGGGGGAUAAAAGCUCUGGGAACGUAGCUCCUCCGGGAGUGUUAUAGCCCUCUGCAUAAUACCCUUACGGGGACCGAGGACCGCGCUUCGGCAAGGAUGCUGGCGUAAUGGUCGUCAACGACCCGUCUUGAAACACGGACCAAGGAGUCGAACAUUUGUGCGAGUGUUUGGGUGUUAAACCCUCACGCGUAAUGAAAGUGAACGGAGGUGAGAGCCCUUACGGGUGCAUCAUCGACCGAUCCUGAUGUCUUCGGAUGGAUUUGAGUAAGAGCAUAACUGUUCGGACCCGAAAGAUGGUGAACUAUGCGUGGAUAGGGUGAAGCCAGAGGAAACUCUGGUGGAGGCUCGCAGCGGUUCUGACGUGCAAAUCGAUCGUCAAAUCUGCGCAUGGGGGGCGAAAGACUUAUCGAACCAUCUAGUAGCUGGUUACCGCGAGU